rnacentral:rRNA from 1 species
AGUGAACGCUGGCGGUAGGCCUAACACAUGCAAGUCGAACGGCAGCACAGUAAGAGCUUGCUCUUACGGGUGGCGAGUGGCGGACGGGUGAGGACUACAUCGGAAUUUACUUUUUAGUGGGGGAUAACGUAGGGAAACUUACGCUAAUACCGCAUACGACCUACGGGUGAAAGCAGGGGAUCUUCGGACCUUGCGCGAUUGACUGAGCCGAUGUCGGAUUAGCUAGUUGGCGGGGUAAAGGCCCACCAAGGCGACGAUCCGUAGCUGGUCUGAGAGGAUGAUAAGCCACACUGGAACUGAGACACGGUCCAGACUCCUACGAGAGGCAGCAGUGGGGAAUAUUGGACAAUGGGCGCAAGCCUGAUCCAGCCAUACCGCGUGGGUGAAGAAGGCCUUCGGGUUGUAAAGCCCUUUUGUUGGGAAAGAAAAGCAGCAGGUUAAUACCCCGCUGUUCUGACGGUACCCAAAGAAUAAGCACCGGCUAACUUCGUG